rnacentral:rRNA from 1 species
GUGGGGAAUAUUGGACAAUGGGCGAAAGCCUGAUCCAGCCAUGCCGCGUGUGUGAAGAAGGUCUUCGGAUUGUAAAGCACUUUAAGUUGGGAGGAAGGGCAUUAACCUAAUACGUUAGUGUUUUGACGUUACCAACAGAAUAAGCACCGGCUAACUUCGUGCCAGCAGCCGCGGUAAUACGAAGGGUGCAAGCGUUAAUCGGAAUUACUGGGCGUAAAGCGCGCGUAGGUGGUUCAGCAAGUUGAAGGUGAAAUCCCCGGGCUCAACCUGGGAACUGCCUCCAAAACUACUGAGCUAGAGUACGGUAGAGGGUAGUGGAAUUUCCUGUGUAGCGGUGAAAUGCGUAGAUAUAGGAAGGAACACCAGUGGCGAAGGCGACUACCUGGACUGAUACUGACACUGAGGUGCGAAAGCGUGGGGAGCAAACAGGAUUAGAUACCCGGGUAGUCC